rnacentral:rRNA from 1 species
GGGGGGGGGGGGGGGCGGGCGGAGCGCAGGCGGGGCGGACGGUAAGGGGGCGGAGCUUGCUUCUUUGCUGGCGAGUGGCGGGCGGGUGGGGGAUGUCUGGGAAACUUCCUGCUGGAGGGGGCGAACUACUGGAAACGGUCGCUACUACCGCCUCACUUCGCACUACCACAGAGGGGGACCUUCGGGCCUCUUGCCAUCGGAUGUGCCCAGCUGGGAUUAGCUAGUCGGUGGGGUAACGGCUCACCUAGGCGACGAUCCCUAGCUGGUCUGAGAGGAUGACCAGCCACACUGGAACUGAGACACGGUCCAGACGCCUACGGGAGGCAGCAGUGGGGAAUAUUGCACAAGGGGCGCAAGCCUGAUGCAGCCAUGCCGCGUGUAUGAAGAAGGCCUUCGGGUGGUAAAGUACUUUCAGCGGGGAGGAAGGGAGUAAAGUUAAUACCUUUGCUCAUUGACGUUACCCGCAGAAGAAGCACCGGCUAACUCCGUG